AGAGAAAUUGUUGGGCCAUAUGUAGUUCUAUUUUCUGGAGAAGCCCCAUACUGUUUUUCAUAAUAGUUGCAUUAAUUUACAUUCCCACUAACAUU
rnacentral:pre_miRNA from 1 species